rnacentral:rRNA from 1 species
UUUUAUGGAGAGUUUGAUCCUGGCUCAGGACGAACGCUGGCGGCGUGCCUAAUACAUGCAAGUCGAGCGAACAGAGAAGGAGCUUGCUCCUUCGACGUUAGCGGCGGACGGGUGAGUAACACGUGGGCAACCUACCUUAUAGUUUGGGAUAACUCCGGGAAACCGGGGCUAAUACCGAAUAAUCUGUUUCACCUCAUGGUGAAACACUGAAAGACGGUUUCGGCUGUCGCUAUAGGAUGGGCCCGCGGCGCAUUAGCUAGUUGGUGAGGUAACGGCUCACCAAGGCGACGAUGCGUAGCCGACCUGAGAGGGUGAUCGGCCACACUGGGACUGAGACACGGCC